rnacentral:rRNA from 1 species
UACGUAGGGAGCAAGCGUUGUCCGGAAUCAUUGGGCGUAAAGCGCGCGUAGGCGGCCCUGUAAGUCCGUUGUGAAAGUCGGGGGCUCAACCCUCGGAUGCCGGUGGAUACUGUCUGGCUUGAGUACGGAAGAGGCGAGUGGAAUUCCUGGUGUAGCGGUGAAAUGCGCAGAUAUCAGGAGGAACACCAAUUGCGAAGGCAGCUCGCUGGGACGUUACUGACGCUGAGACGCGAAAGCGUGGGGAGCAAACAGG